rnacentral:rRNA from 1 species
CCUACGGGUGGCAGCAGUGGGGAAUAUUGGGCAAUGGGCGCAAGCCUGACCCAGCAACGCCGCGUGAAGGAAGAAGGCUUUCGGGUUGUAAACUUCUUUUAAGAGGGAAGAGCAGAAGACGGUACCUCUUGAAUAAGCCACGGAUAACUACGUGCCAGCAGCCGCGGUAAUACGUAGGUGGCAAGCGUUGUCCGGAUUUAGUGGGUGUAAAGGGCGUGUAGCCGGGCUGACAAGUCAGAUGUUAAAUCCCGGGGAUCAACCACGGAACUGCAUUUGAAACUGGCGGUCUGGAGUAUCGGAGAGGCAGGCGGAAGUCCUAGUGUAGCGGUGAAAUGCGUAGAUAUUAGGAGGAACACCAGUGGCGAAGGCGGCCUGCUGGACGACAACUGACGGUGAGGCGCGAAAGCGUGGGGAGCAAACAGGAUUAGAUACCCGAGUAGUC